rnacentral:lncRNA from 1 species
CUCGGAGCUGGUCAGCGUAGAGCAGACUCUGCUUGGGCCUCUCCAGCAGGAGCGGCCCUUCCCUGUCCACCUGAAGGUGAGACCUGCAGCCCCCACUGCUGACCCUGGCCUCCCUCCCAUAUUCACAUUCUUUGCACACAGUAAGUGUGACUACUGACUGUUCAAAGAAGACACUACCGCAUCCAUGGUGAUUAGUGAAAGCAGCGCCUAACAGAUAGCGUGGAAUUUAGAAACAUCUGCAGUCACUUGGCUCUGCAGAUUGAAGGACAGCAGUUUGACAGAGACUUGAAUGCCGCUCACCAGUGUCUGAAAACCAUAGUGAAGAAGUUGAUCCAGUCACUUGCUAAUCUCCCAUCAGAUGCCCACGUGGUUGCCUGCGCUUCCUUGAGACAGAUCUUACAGAAUCUCCCAGAUGUAUGAGUACAAGAGGCAGCCAGACUACAGCUGGCCCUGCCAAGGAAACAGAAUCCUUCACCUUCUAAACAGUCAGCAGCGAUGGGUGUUUAUGUGGCCAAAAGAACUUGAUAGUUCAUGUCUAUGUCUGACCAAGAGCAUCUGUAGCCUACAGCAUGAUAGCAUGUAGUAUGUAUAUUUUUAAAGUAGUUGUGUAUAUUUUUCAAGCAUAUUGACUUACUGUUGACUUUCUGAAGUAUACUUCUUUGGGGAGCUAAUUGGACUAUAUAUAUGUAUAUAUUUAUUAGCCAUCUUAAGCCUGGGUUUUGAAUGAAUGAUAUUUAAAUCUAUAUUUGUAUUAUCGUCAGCUAUAAGGCUUAAUAGGGACAUGUAUAGUAGAAAGAUUACAGAUCUUCAUGUGAUUUUGAGUAAAUGGAACAUUUACUCAAUGGGACAUAGUCUGUUUACUGGGCACUUCAUUGUAGACAGUGACAGUGAUCUUUAGUUGUAGAACUAUCGGUGUCAGUCAUUGUGAGUCCAGCUCUGUCAUUAGUAAUUGACCACUGGGCAGGAAGAGCUGCUUCUAAACUUUGUACUAUCACAUACUGCUCUGCCCAUUUAAAAUGAUAAUGAACUAUGGGGUACCAAGCAUAGUUAAUAUGUAAAUACAAGUACAUACUAUUAAAGUCUCAAUGUG